rnacentral:lncRNA from 1 species
GGUUUUGUGCGUGAUAAAAGUCUUUAACGCGUGAAACAAACAAACAUAUCACCGUCACCAACAUACUUCAACGCGUGAAUGAUUGUUUCUGUGAUAAAAUCAACGCGUGAUGGAGGAAAGGAUGUGAGGGGGUGUGAGGGUUUAUUGUUGGGUGUCGUGAGUGAUGGGCAUUUCCACUAAAAAAGGUUGUGAGUGAUGGAAUAAGAGUUGAUGACAUGACGGAACUUGAUUUGAUGUUGUGAGUGAUGAGUGAUCACCACCCCCUCCCCCUAACUAGUCUCCAACACUGAAAUCAGGUUGUCUUGAAAUUGAGUUCAACUUCAGUUCUUACUUGCAAACCAUGAAUUUAAUUUCCUUCAUUUUUAAAUUUUAUUAUUUCAAACACAUUAUUUAUUCUAUAUUUCUAAAUAAAUUUUAAUAGGAAAAGAAUAUUAUUUAAACACAACAUUUAUAGUUUGGCAAUCUCAAAAUUACUUUAUUUGAUUAAACUGAGUUUUAAUAAAAUCUAUAUAGAAGAGUUAAAACAACAUUAUGUAUUUAAAUUUGUUUUAAUUUUAAAAAUUAUAAACAAAGGAAGAUGAAUUCAAGAUUUGCAACUCUAAGCAAGAUAUGAUGUCACUGAUUGCUCUAACUGCACCUGCAUGUUCUUGCUUAUGA